rnacentral:rRNA from 1 species
AUACGGAGGGUGCAAGCGUUACCCGGAAUCACUGGGCGUAAAGCGCGCGCAGGCGGCUAUUUAAGUUGGAUGUGAAAGCCUACGGCUCAACCGUAGAACUGCAUCCAAAACUAUUAGACUAGAGUGUGGGAGAGGAAGAUGGAAUUAGUUGUGUAGGGGUAAAAUCCGUAGAGAUAACUAGGAAUACCAAAAGCGAAGGCAAUCUUCUGGAACACUACUGACGCUGAGGCGCGAAAGCGUGGGGAGCAAACAGGAUUAGAAACCCUAGUAGUCC